AUGACGUCCGUAUAAUAUGCAGCACUCUUGUGUCAGCAACAGCAGCGACUGAUCAAUUAGCAAAACAGAGAGCUGGAAAAGAGCGAAAAGGAUAUUUAUCAAAUCAUACUGCUUAAAUACUGUGCGCGUUUUCAUUUUAUUAUACAGUGGAUUCUCUUGGCAAUUUUGAAAUAUAGUUGGGGUGUGUGUUUUGCAUUGUUUUAAAAACAUUGAAAUUAUUGCUGCUCAAAUAUGGUUGACAAAUUAGUUAACAGCGAAGCCAAUGCUCGCCGAAUACAGAUGGUGGAAAACUGUUUCGGAACAUCUGGCCAACCAUUGUUUCUUCCCGGGCGGGUCCUCGUAGGUGAAGGUGUUCUUACAAAGAUGUGUCGUAAACGACCGAAAGCUCGUCAAUUUUUCCUAUUUAAUGAUAUUUUGGUGUAUGGCAAUAUUGUUAUUGGCAAGAAGAAGUACAACAAACAACACUUAAUACCGCUCGAAGAAGUCCAACUGCAAGCACUGGAAGAUAAUGGUCAGUACCGGAAUGGAUGGUUGAUACGUACAGCCACUAAGUCGUUUGCUGUGUAUGCUGCGACACAAACAGAGAAGCAGGAAUGGAUGGCACACAUCAACAAGUGUAUAGAAGAUUUAUUGCGCAAGAGCGGCAAGAAACCAGUUGAAACACAUGCUGCUGUAUGGGUUCCGGAUAGUGAAGCUAACAUCUGCAUGCAUUGUAAAAAAACUCAUUUUACCAUGAUUAACAGACGGCAUCAUUGUCGAAAUUGUGGAGCAGUAGUAUGUGGUCCUUGUUCGUCGAAAAAAUUUAUUCUACCAGGUCAGAGCAAUAAACCUCUGCGAGUAUGUCUGGAUUGCUAUGACAAUCUGACAUCAAUGAAGCGUGACGGAAACAAAGCACUUGCCGGUAACAACAACAAACCAGCUAACUCUACUGAGAGCUCCGGUGAAGAUGAUUCAGGAGAUGAUGACGAAACUCUUAAGGAUAACGUGACCCACGACGAGCCCAAAUUUUACGCUGAUGGUAAACUUGAAAAAUAGAACUGUGAAUGCUUUAAUGUACCGUUCAUAUAUAAUACCAGCAGUUGUUAUAAUAAACUACAUAAGAAUCUCACUCCGUUUGCAUCGAAUCGCAGCUCCAUUGGAUUGGAUUCAAUACCAUUAGAUUUUUGACAGCAAUAUUCUGUUUACAGUGCAAAUCAAGGCUAGUUUUUACUAAUUCAAAACGUUUUUUAAACUUUAUUUUAUUACGUAUACUCCUUUAAUUAAUUAAACAAAACCUAGCUCAAAGACACCUCGGAAUAUCCCAUAAAUUUUAAAUUUGUUAGUUAUCUCAAAAGCGUCUAACUGUCAACAAUUCGAUGGUAGCGGCGCGCGUAAACGGCAAAAGAUUUGAACGUAGCUGGAAACGUGUAUCUUCAUUUGAAUGAUGGAUAAAUUGAUUAGGGACCUAUAAUGCUUACGGCUUCACUUAAAUGUAGUGAAUAUUCAUUUACGAUCAACUCUUAGCAAUAAUUGAACAUAAGAAUCAUUAGACUUUUUUUUUUCAGUGAUGAGUA